rnacentral:rRNA from 1 species
AACGCGAAGAACCUUACCUGGGCUUGAACCGCUACUGACCAAGGGUAGAAAUAUCCUCUUCCCGCAAGGGACAGUAGUAGAGGUGCUGCAUGGCUGUCGUCAGCUCGUGCCGUGAGGUGUUGGGUUAAGUCCCGCAACGAGCGCAACCCUUGUGAACUGUUGCUACCCAGCACUUCGGUGUUGGGGCACUCUGUUCAGACUGCCCUGUGAAACGGGGAGGAAGGUGGGGACGACGUCAAGUCAGGAUGGCCCUUACGCCCAGGGCUGCACACGUACUACAAUGCUCAGUACAGAACGAACCGAAAUCGCGAGGUGGAGGAAAUCACUAAAACUGAGCCCAGUUCGGAUUGUAGGCUGCAACUCGCCUACAUGAAGCCGGAAUCGCUAGUAAUGGCGUAUCAGCUACGACGCCGUGAAUACGUUCCCGGGCCUUGUACACACCGAGUAUA